CCUACGGGAGGCACCAGUGGGGAAUCUUGGACAAUGGGCGAAAGCCCGAUCCAGCAAUAUCGCGUGAGUGAAGAAGGGCAAUGCCGCUUGUAAAGCCCUUUCGUCGAGUGCGCGAUCAUGACAGGACUCGAGGAAGAAGCACCGGCUAACUUCGUGCCAGCAGCCGCGGUAAUACGAAGGGUGCAAGCGUUAAUCGGAAUUACUGGGCGUAAAGCGUGAGUAGGCGGUUUGUUAAGUCUGCUGUGAAAGCCCUGGGCUCAACCUGGGAAUGGCAGUGGAAACCGGCGAGCUAGAGUGUGAUAGAGGAUGGUGGAAUUCCCGGUGUAGCGGUGAAAUGCGUAGAGAUCGGGAGGAACAUCAGUGGCGAAGGCGGCCAUCUGGAUCGACACUGACGCUGAGGCACGAAAGCGUGGGGAGCAAACAGGAUUAGAUACCCCAGUAGUC
rnacentral:rRNA from 1 species